rnacentral:pre_miRNA from 1 species
UGUAUACUCCCUUCGUUCCAAAAUACUUGUCGAAGAAAUGAAUAAAAAUAGAUGUAUCUACAACUAAAAUACAUCUAGAUACAUCCACUUGUCCGACAAGUAUUUCCGGACGGAGGGAGUACUAU